AGGUAAGCUACUAAGAGCGAAUGGUGGAUGCCUUGACUGGUAAAGGCGAUGAAGGACGUACUAGACUGCGAUAAGCUACGGGGAGCUGUCAAGAAGCUUUGAUCCGUAGAUUUCCGAAUGGGGUAACCCAAUGUAUAGAGAUAUGCAUUACCUAUAUAGGAGCGAACGAGGGGAAUUGAAACAUCUUAGUACCCUCAGGAAAAGAAAUCAAUAGAGAUUGCGUCAGUAGCGGCGAGCGAAAGCGCAAGAGGGCAAACCCAGUGCUUGCACUGGGGGUUGUAGGACUGCAAUGUGCAAGAGGUAAGUUUAGCAGAACAUUCUGGAAAGUAUAACUAUAGAGGGUGAUAGUCCCGUAUGCGAAAAACAAACCUUAGCUAGCAGUAUCCUGAGUAGGGCGGGACACGAGGAAUCCUGUCUGAAUCCGGGUCGACCACGAUCCAACCCUAAAUACUAAUACCAGAUCGAUAGUGCACAAGUACCGUGAGGGAAAGGUGAAAAGAACUGAGGUGAUCAGAGUGAAAUAGAACCUGAAACCAUUUGCUUACAAUCAUUCAGAGCCCUAUGUAGCAAUACAGGGUGAUGGACUGCCUUUUGCAUAAUGAGCCUGCGAGUUGUGGUGUCUGGCAAGGUUAAGCAAACGCGAAGCCGUAGCGAAAGCGAGUCUGAAUAGGGCGCUUAGUCAGAUGCUGCAGACCCGAAACGAAGUGAUCUAUCCAUGAGCAAGUUGAAGCUAGUGUAAGAACUAGUGG
rnacentral:rRNA from 1 species